GAUGAACGCUGGCGGCGUGCCUAAUACAUGCAAGUCGAGCGAACAGACGAGGAGCUUGCUCCUCUGACGUUAGCGGCGGACGGGUGAGUAACACGUGGAUAACCUACCUAUAAGACUGGGAUAACUUCGGGAAACCGGAGCUAAUACCGGAUAAUAUAUUGAACCGCAUGGUUCAAUAGUGAAAGACGGUUUUGCUUUCACUUAUAGAUGGAUCCGCGCCGCAUUAGCUAGUUGGUAAGGUAACGGCUUACCAAGGCGACGAUGCGUAGCCGACCUGAGAGGGUGAUCGGCCACACUGGAACUGAGACACGGUCCAGACUCCUACGGGAGGCAGCAGUAGGGAAUCUUGCGCAAUGGGCGAAAGCCUGACGGAGCAACGCCGCGUGAGUGAUGAAGGUCUUCGGAUCGUAAAACUCUGUUAUUAGGGAAGAACAAAUGUGUAAGUAACUAUGCACGUCUUGACGGUACCUAAUCAGAAAGCCACGGCUAACUACGUG
rnacentral:rRNA from 1 species